rnacentral:rRNA from 1 species
UACAGAGGUCUCGAGCGUUGUUCGGAUUCAUUGGGCGUAAAGGGUGCGUAGGUGGCGCCGUAAGUCGGGUGUGAAAUUUCGGAGCUUAACUCCGAAACUGCAUUCGAUACUGCGGUGCUUGAGGACUGGAGAGGAGACUGGAAUUCAUGGUGUAGCAGUGAAAUGCGUAGAGAUCAUGAGGAAGACCAGUGGCGAAGGCGGGUCUCUGGACAGUUCCUGACACUGAGGCACGAAGGCCAGGGGAGCAAACAGG